AAACCAUGGUGAGGGCAUUUCCUCAAAAGGUCCUUGAACCUUUCAUGGGAUUUAAAGAGUGUCUCUGAAUCACCUUGCUUGAAAGUAGAAAUUUCUUGUCUCAGUCU